AGAAAAAAGAGAGAUACCGUAAGGGCGAGGCUUGGUCCUACGGGAAUUAUUUGAACAAUUACAGUUCCUCUGUGACGAGAAUACGUAUAAAUUGGAAGCCAUUGGAAGCGAAGAGAGAGAUACAUAGAGAGAGAAAGAGCCAACAAACCAAAAAGAAAUCCGUGGAAUAUCUGAACCUAUCACUUCGUCGUCCUGGUCUGAUUUGGGGGUUCCCUUCCAAUGGAUGACGGUGAGCUUGAUUUCUCGAACCAGGAAGUGUUUUCGAGUCCGAACAUGGCCGAGCUCCCUAGUAGUGGUUCGAUGGACAGUUUCUUCGAUGAACUUCUCAAGGACACACACGCUUGCACUCACACUCACACGUGCAACCCUCCUGGCCCCGAUUUUUCUCACACACACACGUGUUACCAUGUCCACACCAAAAUUGUCCCUGCCCCUGCCGAAGACCAGGUUGCCACCGAUGACACUGCUGAGUCUGCUGAGAAGAAGUCCAAGAAACGGCCCCUUGGUAACAAAGAAGCGGUUCGCAAAUACCGCGAGAAGAAGAAAGCCCGUGCUGCUUCUCUGGAGGAUGAGGUUGUGAAAUUGAGAGCUCUUAACCAGCACUUAAUGAAGAAGUUGCAGGGUCAGGCUGCUUUGGAGGCAGAAAUUUCUAGGCUCAAAUGCUUGUUGGUUGACAUAAGGGGAAGGAUUGAAGGAGAAAUUGGGUCGUUUCCGUAUCAGAAAUCGCCUAAUUCCGACCCUGCAAUUCCUAACCUGCCUGGUUCUUAUGUGAUGAACCCUUGUAACAUGCAGUGUGAUGAUCGCGUCUAUUGCCUUCAUCCUGGAGCAGAUGGAAAGAUUGCGGAAGGUGUGUCUCUGAAUGGGGAAGGAUUGGGUGGUUGUGAGUUUGAGAGCCUCCAGUGUCUAGCAAGCCAGAAUUUGGGGCUCAAGGAACUUCGCCAGUGCGGAGUUGGACAGACGGUGUCUAAUGUCAAUUCUUCUGCGUCAAAUAAAAGAAAAGGCAAGACAUCAGACCUGAUUAAAUAUACUUCUUAAUUCUGGGGCGAAACAUUUGAUUUGUUGGUUAAUUCGAAUGUAUACUUAGAUUCCAUUUUAAUUUCCGGUGCAUUGUUUGAUCUGCCAGGCAUCUUUGGUCACUUUUUGGGAUCCAGUGCUAAUUGUCCCUGUAUUUAACAUUUGUCUCAUUAUGUAAGUUUAGCUUUGUAAAAGUGCAGUAUAGAAAGCAUUGAGAUUUGAGAGAGAGAGAAAGAGAAAGCAUACGGGAUGAACUUGCUCUGCAAUGUGACCUCUUGCAUUUAGUUCUGUUUGGGUUAUAUGAACUGUUGGAAGUUCUGAAUUCAGAUGGUCUCACAGAAACACCUUUUCUUUAUUUGGCAUUAUGUUUAUUUGCUAAAACUUGUAAUUGUUCUUAUGUUAUAGGGCUGAAAUCAGAUUGCUAGAUUUUCUAUAGGAUGAUUGACUGAUUGUUAACAUCUCACAGAAUGCUUGAUCUUAAAGGGUAGUUAUAAUUAUUAUUACUAGUAUGAUAGAGUUAUUGUAACUUUGUUAGACAACUAGAUGCUAUAUUUAUGAACGCUGCCAGAUUAUGAAAAGAUAUUAUCCAAGAGGAUUUAAGGAACUAGAAUUUAAAGAUUGAAGUACCAAAUGAUUGUAGUGAAACAUUUUUUCUUAAUUGUUCUGAGACUGUAUUUUCUUUUCGAAUUUGUUAUUAUAUAAUUUUUUUAUUCCCAUUUCCAAAGCAAUUAGGAUGGAGUUCAGUGUGAUGAGUUUAGGGCAUGGAAAUCGCAUAUUCUUGCUCCCCGUCCUUUAAAAUGAUCUAAUGGAUCUUUAUUUUUAGGGGGGUCUCGUGCAGUAACAACUGGUUGAAGAAUCAAUAAAAAGGUGGUUUUCAUCGUUGCUUUGAACUUGGGGAAGAUGGGGGUGUGUGUGAUCUUUCAGUACUUUGUGCUGUGGACAGGUGAGACACCAAUGUCAUUUUGUGAAAUAUAAAAUCUUCUAUGAGUGAAACAAUAAAAUUGGCUGUGUAUGGUUGCCGGCAUUGUUUCUUCUUUUUCAUCUUUAUUGUGUAAAUAAUGAGAGGUUUAAUUCUGUCUUUUGCAUUUUGCUGGACAAGGGUUGAGUAAUUUAUUUCCGGAAGGAACUGUGUCUCUAACUGAAGAUUUUGCAUGUGGGCUUUUGUCUUCUACAAGACAGACAAAUGACCCGUUUCGUAUUUGAGAACGCAAGUAGCUGUUUCGAUUACCAAUGGAACCUUGCUAGCUUUAGAGUGAGAUACGAUGGUGGGAAGCCUGUCUGCAAAUCUGCACUAUAGAACAAAUCUUGAAUAGAUUUCGGUAAUUAAAAGGUUCUUGAUGAUCCUAUUUGGGGCAUGAACUGAUUAAUACCAUUGUGGACAAAAUUUGUAACAAUUUGCCUCGCAUUUAGUUGCUCGUAUAGAGCACAGCGGGACUUUUAGCGAACUGGAGUGAAUUGAGCCAUUACCAACUUGUUCCCUCUGAAGUUGUAAAACAUCACGAUUGGGACACCGUAUGCAUUCUGAAUUUAUGGGAUUCCCUCAGAUGGUUUAAGCAGAAUGUAGAUGUUUCGUGAAUUCAGUUACUAAGUUUAGAAUAAAAAUGAAAAAUAAUAAAAUUUCAUUUUAUUCGAGUGAUAUAAUGAAAAUAAUU